UACGUAGGGUGCAAGCGUUAAUCGGAAUUACUGGGCGUAAAGCGUGCACAGGCGGUGAUGUAAGACAGUUGUGAAAUCCCCGGGCUCAACCUGGGAACUGCAUCUGUGACUGCAUUGCUGGAGUGCGGCAGAGGGGGAUGGAAUUCCGCGUGUAGCAGUGAAAUGCGUAGAUAUGCGGAGGAACACCGAUGGCGAAGGCAGCCCCCUGGGUCAAAACUGACGCUCAUGCACGAAAGCGUGGGGAGCAAACAGG
rnacentral:rRNA from 1 species